rnacentral:lncRNA from 1 species
AUCAUAUUAAAAAUAGUGAAAAUCAAAUAAAUCAUGACAAGCUCUUUAUUUCAUUUUAUUUUUCGCGCGAAAGCAUUCUGACUUCCAUCUAUUGAGAGUAAUACGGACUCCCGACUUCCCAUCUGGAAUGACCCAAUUCAUUGCAUAUUAUAUCAGUAAUUUGUGGCUUGUCAAACCAACAACACAUUUAUGGCUUGCCAAACUAUGACAUGAACUAUGACCAUGGUCAUGCCAACCAUAAUUGUGACAUCUC